rnacentral:lncRNA from 1 species
CUUUGCAGCCUCAUCAAUGUUCCUGGCUGGGCCCUGGCAUGCGGAUAGCAGCUCCAUUGCUCUCUGGAUAUCCUGCAACUUCUGCAUUGGAACACUGGGAUUCUACGACAGCAAAGACAGACACAGAAUAUGAGAGAGCGGCUGCUGAUGUUAAACUUGAGCAGACGCACGUGCAUCUGCCUCAGAGACUACAAUACCUAAACACUAACAAUCCUCCUCCAAGCCCAGUCAAGGCCAUGGGCUUGUGUGUUACACAUGAAAAUAGAAGCAAACCCUCUGUUAAAGAGACAAACUCUCCCACCAGAAGGACAAGCAAUUUCCUCUGUACUUCAGAUC